rnacentral:rRNA from 1 species
AGUGAACGCUGGCGGUAGGCCUAACACAUGCAAGUCGAACGGCAGCACAGUAAGAGCUUGCUCUUACGGGUGGCGAGUGGCGGACGGGUGAGGAAUACAUCGGAAUCUACUUUUUCGUGGGGGAUAACGUAGGGAAACUUACGCUAAUACCGCAUACGACCUACGGGUGAAAGCAGGGGAUCUUCGGACCUUGCGCGAUUGAAUGAGCCGAUGUCGGAUUAGCUAGUUGGCGGGGUAAAGGCCCACCAAGGCGACGAUCCGUAGCUGGUCUGAGAGGAUGAUGAGCCAGAAUGGAACUGAGACACGGUCCAGACUCCAACGGGAGGCAGCAGUGGGGAAUAUUGGACAAUGGGCGCAAGCCUGAUCCAGCCAUACCGCGGGGGUGAAGAAGGCCUUCGGGUUGUAAAGCCCUUUUGUUGGGAAAGAAAAGCAGCAGGUUAAUACCCCGCUGUUCUGACGGUACCCAAAGAAUAAGCACCGGCUAACUUCGUG